rnacentral:rRNA from 1 species
AUGUUUUCGAUCCAUGACUCCUAUCGUGUACCAAUGGCGACUCUGAAUUUCUCUGGUCCAGGAGGAAUCUGGUUGCAAUCUGUGCAGAAAAAAUUAGUUGGAUUGGACUGGGAGUCCUUUGCCUCUCUUCUCUGCAUUCGUUUCGAGAUGCUUAUCCGCCAGUUCUAUGCCAUCAAACAGACCACCUCAGUUGCUGAUUUUAUUGAGCGCUUUGAAUAUCUGAUGAAUCACAUGAUUUCAUACUCAGAAUCUACUCACCUGUAUUUUUUCUUGACACGUUUUGUUGAGGGAUUGCGACCGGACAUCUGA